AGGACGAACGCUGGCGGCGUGCUUAACACAUGCAAGUCGAGCGGAAAGGCCCUUCGGGGUACUCGAGCGGCGAACGGGUGAGUAACACGUGAGAAACCUGCCCUGGACUUUGGGAUAACCCUCGGAAACGGGGGCUAAUACCGAAUACGACCUUCAACCGCAUGGUUUGUUGGUGGAAAGUUUUUCGGUCUGGGAUGGUCUCGCGGCCUAUCAGCUUGUUGGUGGGGUAAUGGCCUACCAAGGCGACGACGGGUAGCCGG
rnacentral:rRNA from 1 species